ACCUGCCUGGCUCAGUCCGUGGAGCAUGGGACUCUUGAUCUCAGAGUUGUGGGUUUGAACCCCAUGUUAGGUG
rnacentral:tRNA from 1 species